rnacentral:rRNA from 1 species
GACGAACGCUGGCGGCGUGCUUAACACAUGCAAGUCGAACGGAAAGGCCCUGCUUUUGUGGGGUGCUCGAGUGGCGAGCGGGUGAGUAACACGUGAGUAACCUGCCCUUGACUUUGGGAUAACUUCAGGAAACUGGGGCUAAUACCGGAUAGGAGCUCCUGCUGCAUGGGGGGGGUUGGAAAGUGUCGGCGGUUGGGGAUGGACUCGCGGCUUAUCAGCUUGUUGGUGGGGUUGUUGCUUACCAAGGCUGUGAAGGGUAGGCGGCCUGAGAGGUGGACCGGCGACAUGGGGCCUGAGAUACGGCCCAGACGCCUACGGGAGGCAGCAGUGGGGAAUAUUGCACAAUGGGCGGACGCCUGAUGCAGCAACGCCGCGUUCGGGAUGACGGCCUUCUGGUUGUAAACCGCUUUCGCCUUUGCCGAAGCGUGAGUGACGGUAAUGGGUAAAGAAGCACCGGCUAACUACGUG